rnacentral:tRNA from 1 species
AAAGCUUUAAGUUAAUAAAACUAUUAACCUUCAAAGUUAAAUUUAUAUAAUAAAAUGUAUAAGCUUUA